CAAGUUCACCAGCAGUGCCAUCAGCUUCCAGGCUUGUUGUAACUCUUAUUCUUACAAGGCUGAUUCCAAGGAGAUUAACCCUAUGGAUUUCUCCAAGGGCAACAGUUCCCUGAUGCCCGUGAACCAACGUACAGCGCCAUCCGUCAGAGUUGAUGCAGCAGCAGGUUUCCCAGCAAACAAAACCUUUAUGUUGAUGAUGGUCGAUGCUGACGUCCCCACUGCGUCUGUUGGAACCGCUGACAAACCGCUGGUUCACUGGGUCGUUGUGAACAUCAAA